rnacentral:lncRNA from 1 species
CACUAUAAAGGGUUUGAUUAGAUUUAAGAAUGAUGUUCCUAAGAUCAUGGAUUGGUUUAAGUUUUUGACUAAAAUGAAGGAAAUUUUUAAACAGAUAUCUUGAUUGCAUAUAUAUGCAUAUGUUAGUUUGUAUUUUAUUUCAAGUGUUGAUCCACAAGCAAUGUUAAGUUUUUCUUUGUUUUUUUCAAAAUAUUUUUUUGGUAUUAGUCUUUCUUGUACGCAAUUUGAGUCUGCACCUAAGUCUAUCAGUGCUAUAGUAUCAAGCUUG